rnacentral:rRNA from 1 species
UCUAAACGACUCUCGGCAACGGAUAUCUCGGCUCUCGCAUCGAUGAAGAACGUAGCGAAAUGCGAUACUUGGUGUGAAUUGCAGAAUCCCGUGAACCAUCGAGUCUUUGAACGCAAGUUGCGCCCGAAACCAUUUGGUUGAGGGCACGUCUGCCUGGGCGUCACGC